rnacentral:rRNA from 1 species
UACGUAGGGGGCAAGCGUUGUCCGGAUUUAUUGGGCGUAAAGAGCGUGUAGGCGGCCAUACAGGUCCGUUGUGAAAACUGGAGGCUCAACCUCCAGACGUCGACGGAAACCGUAUGGCUAGAGUCCGGAAGAGGAGAGUGGAAUUCCUGGUGUAGCGGUGGAAUGCGCAGAUAUCAGGAGGAACACCAACGGCGAAGGCAGCCCGCUGGGACGGUACUGACGCUAAGGCGCGAAAGCGUGGGGAGCGAACAGG